CAUGAAUAUUCUGGACAUCCCGAAGGUGUGAUGCAGCGUGGAGAGUGGGUGCACAUCAGCAUCACCAGCACCUCUGUUAAGCAGAAUACUGUGCAUGGGUAUUAAUCCCUGGUGGGGAAUUCUGUGCGACUAUUAAGAAUCCCAGAGGAGAACUCUAAACACCUUGCCAGCUUCUACUAAGGUUCCUAGAUCUGGCAGGUUUCUAGAUCUGGCAGGAGGUUUUGCCCAAACCCAGCUGCCAGUGUAUGAGUUUGGUGAGACAGAGCACUUGUGCAACAUGUCAGGCAAAGCAAGUUUAGUACUCCCAGGCAGGGAGCAAGGGCCAACAGAAGUCUAGGAUCCAUGAUGUGCUGGUCCCCCAAGGCUUAGGGAGGCUGCCCAGGGUGGAUGCAGUCUUAUCUGUAUGUGCUCCACUAUACAUCUGAUAUAGUUUGGAUAUUUGUCCCCUCCAAAUCUCAUGUUGAAAUGUGAUCCCCAGUGUGGAGGUGGGGCCUGGAGGGAGGUGUUUGGGUCAGAGGGGUUGAUCCCCCAUGAAUGGCUUCGUGUCCUCCCCGUGGUAAUGAGCGAGCUCUCAGCUAUUACUUCAUGUGAGAUCUGGUUGUUUUAAAGAACCUGGCACCUUCUCCUUUCUCUUUUGCCCCCUCUCAUGCCAUGUGACAUGCUGCCUCCCUCUUUGCCUUCCACCAUGAGUGGGAGCUUCCUGAGGACCUCACCAGAAGCUGAGGAGAUGCUGGUGCUAGGCUUCUUGUAGAGACUGCAAAGCCGUAAGACAAAUGAACUUCUUUUUUGUAUAAAUUGCCCAGAUAUUCCUUUACAGCAAAACAAAAUGGACUGAUAUAGCACCACUACUGAGGGACCCUGAAAGCAUUCUGCUCUGGUUUUAUACCUCAGAGGCCACUUGGAUUGGUGAGCCAAGCAUUGCAGGCUGUUCUAGGAAUGACGGAGACAAAGCCUGGGCUAUUCUGGGCAUUUCCUCCUAUCUCAGAAUGUUGCAUUCUCUGUACAUUCUGCCCAAGAAUUGCAAGCAAAGGAGGGUCAGCCAAGGCUAUUUGCAGGCUUGUCCUCCUGUCUGGUUGAAAGAUCCUUCAGUACCAGCCAACUCUCUCUCCUGGUUCCAUGUUCACUCUGCUACUUUCUAAUUAUUACUCCAGGUUGGAGGGAUGGAUGAUGGACAACAACUUUUCUCAUCACUGGAAGGGCAUGUUCCCCACUGAAACUGAAUCCACUGUUUUUUGUUUGUUUGUUUAUUUGUUUAUUUUUGUUUUUGAGACAGCGUCUGGCUUUGUUGCCCAGACUGGAGUGCACUGGUGCAAUCUCGGCUCACUGCAACCUCUGCCUCCGGGGUUCAAGAGAUUCUCCUGCCUCAGCCUCCCAAGUAGCUUGGACUACAGGCACGCACCACCAUGCCUGGCUAAUUUUUAUAUUUUUAGUGGAGACAGGGUUUCACCAUGUUGGCCAGACUGGUCUUGAGCUCCUGACUUCAAGUGAUCCACCUGCCUUGGCCUCCCAAAGUGCUGGGAUUACAGGCAUCAGGCCACUCCACUGGGUUUUGAGAAUCAGUCAAUUUUAUGUGUGUUUAGGUUACUUAGCUGCAUUCCUAAAGUCUCUGAACCAGUCAGCCAGGAGCUUGGAUAUCAAGACCUUGGAGGGAGUUUGGUGUCAGUUUUCAGCAUCAAACUCCCUCCAAGGUCUUGAUAUCCAAGCUCCUGGCUGAUCUGGGAGCCACAGCAGGGGUCAGGGCCCUGUGAUCCCCAGCCUGAAACUGGCAGUCAGAUUUCACAGGCUUCAGACCACAGAGGAGCACUAGGACCCCACCAGAGGUGGUCCGGAGGCUGACCUGAAGGCCCUGGGGAUGGGCUAUGCAAGCUGAUUGCUCACUGCGAGUAGCAAGAGAUGCCUUGAGCCUCUUAUGGGAUCAUGAGGAUUGUGUGCUGGGAUCCCGGCAGACAAAGCUGAGAUUCAGCUGGAUAAAGCAGGCUGUAGCACAGCUGAUGUUUGUUCUCUGUGGAAAUCAGGCUCUUUUCUCCUAAGGUCAGUGCCCAAAAAGGUAAAGAAAACCUCAUGCAGUGUGCUUGCUUCUCCUCAUGGGCAGCCCAUUUGGAUACCCUGGAAAUUGAACCUAAUUUAAAAGGUAUCUGAAUCUAAUCAGUCACAGGAAGAAUGUGUGUAUACCAUAUUAUAGAGGAAGGUAAAUAAGAAAACUAGUAUCUUGAGUAGGGGAAUAUAGUACUCUUAGCAAUAGCAUGGGAAGUUUCCUGGUUAUGUGGAACAAUUCAGAUACAUCAAGAGAAGCCAAGAGUACAGGAUAAAGUUAUACUGGAGGAAAACAUCACUUUUUUAGGUCUUCAAGAUAAACAUUUCAGCAACAGGUCACAAAAGCAGAGUUAGAACUGGAGAGAAUAAAUUACAGUAGCUGAUGAAAAAGUUGAAAGAGAGAUUGUUAUCAUCCCAGGCUUUUUCAAAGGGAGAAAGAGUUGCAGGCAAUGAUGCAUGACCUGCAAAUCAUGUGCUGUGAAAUACAUCAGAAGUUGAAGUUUGAAGAUAUGAAUAUGAGAAGCUUCAAGAGGAAAACUCUACCUCAAGAAAUAAAAUUACCAUUCUGAAUGAAAAAGACAUAUUUCUAACCUGAAAAUAGGGAAAUUAAAUUACUUCUAUUAAAAAAAGCAGCAGAUAAUUAAAAAUAAAAACAUCUUGUAAAUUUUACUAAGAGCAGAUCAAUACACAACAAACAAGCAAACACCUUGUUGUUUUAAUAUAGAGUACCAAACCUUUAGUUUUCUGUUAGCGUAUUUUUUUUUUUUUUGGAGACAGGGCAUUCCUCUGUCACCCUGGCUGGAACGCAGUGGCAUAAUAGCUCACUGUAACCUCAAAUUCCUGGGCUCAACUGAUCUUCCUGCCUUUGCCUCCCAAGUAUCUGGGACUACAGGUGUGCACCACCACACCUGACUAAUUUUUAAAACAAUUUUUUUUGUGCAGUUGGGGUCUCACUAUGUUGCCCAGGUUGGUCUUGAACUCAUCCUGGCCUGAAGUGAUCCUCCCACCUUGGCCUCCCAAAGUGCUAGGAUUAUAGGUGUGAGCCAUGAUGCCCAGGCUUAUAUUAGUGUAUUUUUAAAUAUCAAAGCUCAAUCUUUAGAAAGACUUAUAGAUAAUUCCUUUCUAAUUAUGGCCAACUUGCUCACACAAAAUUCCCUUCAUAAAUUUAUCCUUCACAAACCUUAUCACAACUUACUCAGGUCUUUGACAACAUACUUAAAUUUUCUGCUUUGUUUUAAACUUCCUCUUCCUUAAAUACCCAGUCAUUUUACUUUAGGACAAAAAUUUGCCAUGCAAGAUUCUUACUCAUACAAAAUUAUUCUCUUUUCUUUUAAACCUUCUUUACUGAAAUUUAUUCUCAUACGCAUAACUGUUUUUAUGUCUUUUUCUCCUAUUUACUGUUCUUUUUUAUUUCCUUUUAAAAUUUACUUUUUGGAACAACCUU
rnacentral:lncRNA from 10 species